rnacentral:ncRNA from 2 species
CUUGCUCACACGGGGUGCCCAUUCGGGCUGAGAGGCGAGGAUCAUCGCCAACCCGACGAACCUGAUCCGGCUCGUACCGGCGGAGGGAUGGGGAGCGGUCCGCGC